UACGGGGGGAGCAAGCGUUGUUCGGAUUUACUGGGCGUAAAGGGCUCGGUAGGCGGUCCGUCACGUCGGCUGUGAAAACCCGGGGCUCAACCCCGGGCCUGCAGUCGAUACGGGCGGACUAGAGUUCGGCAGGGGAGACUGGAAUUCCUGGUGUAGCGGUGAAAUGCGCAGAUAUCAGGAGGAACACCUGCGGUGUAGACGGCUUACUGGACCUAACUGACGCUGAGGCACGAAAGCGUGGGUAGCAAACAGG
rnacentral:rRNA from 1 species